rnacentral:rRNA from 1 species
ACCAGACUCCUACGGGAGGCAGCAGUGGGGAAUAUUGCACAAUGGGGGAAACCCUGAUGCAGCGACGCCGCGUGAGUGAAGAAGUAUUUCGGUAUGUAAAGCUCUAUCAGCAGGGAAGAAGAUGACGGUACCUGAGUAAGAAGCCCGGGCUAACUACGUGCCAGCAGCCGCGGUAAUACGUAGGGGGCAAGCGUUAUCCGGAUUUACUGGGUGUAAAGGGAGCGUAGACGGUGAGACAAGUCUGAAGUGAAAGCCCGGGGCUCAACCCCGGGACUGCUUUGGAAACUGCCUGACUGGAGUGCUGGAGAGGCAAGCGGAAUUCCUAGUGUAGCGGUGAAAUGCGUAGAUAUUAGGAAGAACACCAGUGGCGAAGGCGGCUUGCUGGACAGUAACUGACGUUGAGGCUCGAAAGCGUGGGGAGCAAACAGGAUUAGAUCCCCUCGUA